CUUUAUCUCUUCCUUACUGUGUGCACACGAUUGCACUGGGAGUUGUCAAUAUAACAAGUGGAUAAAACAGCCUCUCCUCUCAAGAAGCUUAUAAACCAGUAGAGGAAAAAUAGCAGCUUCACUAUAUGUGGAAAUAGCGGCUUCACUCUUAGAGUCAAUUGUCAUAAUUCCCUAAACUAGAAAAGAAGAAGGCAAUGAUUCUUACAGGGGUAAUCUGUAAAGGCUUUAUCAGGAAAGAUUUUUGCUAGGCCCCGAAGGAUCGACACUGUUUCAGUAAGUGAAGAUAGAGGAGAGAGCACUCCAGGGAAAGGUGUUGCCAGGAGCAAAGCACCUGUCCGUGACCGUCUAUUGUUUGUGGAAACCCAGACACUGUGGGUCAAUGCUCCCUCUCAGGUUGUUUGCCAGCAGCUAAGGGAAGGUCUAGGUCCUUUCUUCCAGAGCUUCUGUUCAGGGCAGAUUGUGAUGAAGGGAACCACUUUGGUGACUGAUGGGGCUUAAGAUCUCUCUGCAAGGCUACUUUCAAGUGAAUUUACAAACCAAGGGUGCAAAAUACAGCAGGAAUCCAGAACAUAAAAGGGAAAAAAUGAGCUAUAGGAAGAAAGAAAGGCACUUUGGCUUCAGGAGAUGUACAGCAAUAGAAAUGAGUCAACAGGAGUGAUCAUCAUCCAAGAGAUCAUCAUCUCUUCCUCAUCCUCCCCCUUUUUCUCCUUAUCCUCAUUCUCUUAUCUUCAUUAUCAUUAUGAUCACUGGCUCAUACUGAGAUGCAUGAAAAGGAGAGAAGGAAGGAAAGAAGGAAGGUGCAAGAGAGGAGAGUCUCCUGAAUUGUCCCUGGAUCUGAAUACCAUCCUAGGUGCCGGUCCAUUAACUUCCAAGAGAAUCCCAUGAGUAUAUAGUAUGGUUUCAAAAGAAUGGAAGCUAGAAUAACACAAAUGUGAACUCUAGUCCCAAUUCUUCUAAUUCCUGGGUUGUUGAUCCCAAACACAUUAUAUAAAGUUAUCUGUUCUUCCAUUUCCUCUAAUAAAAUAAGGCUAACAUACAGGUUAUGUGAUUCUUGUAAGAGAAAAAUAUAAUAAAAAAUUUUAUAGCUGUAAAUGCUAUAAAACAUCUAUACAUUUAUUUCCUGUUUAUUCUUGGGUUUUCUUAUCUAAUCUAUUCACACACGUUUGCUUAUUCAAAAAUAAAAAUUAUUUCUCACAGAUGAAUAAUAAAA
rnacentral:lncRNA from 10 species